UACACACACACACACACACACACGCACGCAUGCACAUAUAUAUAUAUAUAUUUUAAUUUUCUUGAAUUUAUUUUGUCUCUCUUCCUUUUCCUUCUUUUCUCUCUUUCCUCUCUCCUCCCACCUUCGUAUCUUUAUCUUCCUCCAUUAAUUAUUUCUAGAAAAAAGCACACAGAUUCAUGCUUUGCUUUUCUCCGAAGGAUCACUCACUCUAGCCAACUAGUCCACGCUCCUCUUCUUCUUCGCUCGUGAUCUUGUGUUACAGAUAAAUCAAGUAAACCCUUGUUUUUUUCAUUGUCAGUUCUAUGCAUAAUUGCUUCAUUCAACAUACAAAAAUUUUAUGUCUUGCAAAUAUUAAAUGAUAACCCAUUAGGUUAAAUAAGUAAAUAACUUAGAAAUGUUCCAACAUCAAAAUUUAUGAAAAAAAAAUGAUAGAAAAAAAAAAAUUAACAAUUCUAUAAUAGAUUAAUGAUUAAAAAAAAGCCAAAAUUUUCAAAACCUUUAAUUUUGACAAUUUUAUCCAAAUUGCCUAAGGUUGGAAAUUUGAUUCAAUUUUUGCUCUUCAACUACAUUUUCGAUUUGUCUAUGACUACCCACCUUAUCACUAUUAUCGCCACCUUCAAAGUUAUGUUCUGAUAUCUGCGGGGCAUUUAAUUUAGACAAUAUUUGGUGGCAGUGAAGAGAGUGGACGAACAAAACCACCUGAUUUUGCUAAAUGGCUAAGAGUUUUGAUGCAUGAUGUAUGUCAAAAUGAAGUUUAGAAGGUAUUGGUAUAUGGUAGUUGUGAUGGGGUUGGAUCAUUGUGAGUGGCUGUAACUCGGUUGGAAAAUGGAGUUGAAAAACUAGAAAAAGAUUAGUUAGAAUUGUAAUAACCUUUGACAGUGGAUGCUACAUGUAUAAAGAGAAACAACAAAAUCUAAAAAGCAAGAACUGAAAUUUGAGUAUCAUUUACGCACGAAAUCUCUACUUCCCUAAUCACUGAAAAGAAAGUGAAACAAAACUUUUAGGAAAACAAUGAAAACUGAGGGGGCAGCAUAUGAUUUUUUAAAAUCUCUGUACAGAUGAUUGUAUCACCAUGUCUUAUUUCAUCUAACAAAUUGCAUAUCACAAUAGCCAUAUAACUGAAACAACAAAUUAACAAAAAACUUAUCUAACAAAACAAUUAAAAUAA
rnacentral:misc_RNA from 1 species